AACAGAAAAUGAUGAAACAAGUUAUCCCUGGCUGAUAUUGAUGAUGAUAAAAUAAACUGAUUCUGUA
rnacentral:snoRNA from 1 species